AAUGAACGUUGGCGGCGUGGAUUAGGCAUGCAAGUCGAACGGGCCGCAAGGCCAGUGGCGCAAGGGUGAGUAAGGCGACGGUAACCAACCCCAAGAUUGGGUAUAGCCGCGGGAAACCGCGGGUAAUCCCCAGCGACGCAACGACACCGGCAUCGGUGUUUUGCCAAAGCUUCGGCGUCUUGGGACGGGCUGUCGUGGUA
rnacentral:rRNA from 1 species